GGAAACUAUUUGAUUUGCCCGUUGCCGGUUAUUUUGUCUUUUUAUGACACCCACAUGUUUUUCCAUGGCGUCAAGUCUUCGUCGCGGCUCCAUUCUCGGCGUCACGAAUUGGUGUGAUAGAUUUCAGCCACUGAUGUCGCUUCUUCCUCUUCGCCAUGCUCUCAUCUCCAAGCCGUGGUCUCCGCCAUCGCCAUCGUCAGAAUCAGCCUCAGAUUACGCAAAGAGAAAGCUCGUUGUUUUCAAUGGUGGAUUUUAAAAUAUUUUCCAUACAGGUCCCUGAACUUCUACUUCUUUAUAAAACAGCCCAGGAUUUUCUAAAGUGCAGAAACAUCCAUAAUUUAGCCCCUUAGCUUUUAAUUGUGACAAUAUAGACCCGCGUGUAGUCUGUCUUUUGCACCAUUGAUCCCUGUAUUUUCUUCUUAUAUCGUCUUGGCCCCAGCUGUUUCUGAUUUGCAGAAAUAACCUUCUAAUGUCGCCUAAAACUUUUAAUUGGACACUCCAAACCCUUAUGCACAUAAAUAGACAAAUAUAUGCAAUUUAGACACCUAGAUGCAAUCUAAAGUGAUUAAAAAGAAAUAAUUGAGAUGCUAAAUAACAUUAAAUACACUAUAAUAUAUUAAUCGGACCAUAAACUCAAAUCGUAUACCCUAAAUCCAAUUACUGCACCCUAAACCCAAUCCAUAUAACCUUAAACAUAAAUCCUAGACCAUAAAUCCAAACAGUAAACCAUAAACCAAAAUCAUAUACUCUAAACCGAAAUCCUAGACCCAAAACCCAAACCGUAUAUCGUAAACCCAAAUCUUACACCAUAAACCCAAACCUUAAACUCUAAACCUAAACCCUAUACCGUAAAUUUAAAUCUUAGACUAUAAACUCAAACCGUAAACUUUAAACUCGAACCCUCCCAAAUCUUAAACUCUAAACCCAAAUACUAGACCCUAAACCCAAACCGUAUAACCUUAAACCUAAUCGUAGACCAUAAACCCAAACUGUAAACCGUAAACCCAAAUCAUAUACCAUAAAUUUAAAUCCUAGAUCCUAAACCCAAACCGUAUACCGUAAAACAAAUCCUACACCAUAAACCCAAACCGUAAACUCUAAUCUCAAACCCUAUACCCUAAACGUAAAUUCUAUACCCUCAAUCCAAACUGUGAACUUUAAACCCAAACCUAUAGCGGCUAGGUUUCGGAGUUCGAUUUAGGGUUUGGGUCUAAGAUUUAAAUUUAGGGUAUUCCAAAUUUAAUAUCUGAUUAACAUUCACGUUGUGCACAAAAUAAGAUUAAGACUGACAGAUACGUAUUACGCCAACUCGUAUAACCAUAUUCAUUUCGAACACUAAAAAUGUGAUAUUUUGUAUCUGACAAGCUUCCAUCUAUAUACUUGGAAAUCGUAAAGGUGAGUGAUAUGUUGUGUUCACUAUAUAUAACGGUAAUAAAUUAUGAAAAUUUUUGUCGUGUAACCGAAUGUAUAAUAUAUUAACCAGAUUUAUUUCGAUUCUAAUUAUGUGAAAUCCGGAGCCCUUAUGCACAUAAAUGGACAAAUAUAUGCAAUGUAGACACCUAGAUACAAUCUAAAGUGAUUAAAAAGAACUAAUUGAGAUGCUAAAUAACAUUAAAUACACUAUAAUAUAUUAAUCGAACCAUAAAACCAAAUCGUAUACCCUAAAUCCAAUUACUACACCCUAAACCCAACCUGUAUAACCUUAAACAUAAAUCCUAGACUAUAAAUCCAAACAGUAAACCAUAAACCAAAAUCAUAUACUCUAAACCAAAAUCCCAGACCCAAAAUCCAAUCCGUAUACCGUAAACCCAAAUCUUACACCAUAAACCCGAACCGUAAACUCUAAACCUAAACCCUAUACCGUAAAUUUAAAUCGUAAACCAUAAACCCAAACCAUAAACUUUAAACUCAAACCCUCCCAAGUCUUAAACUCUAAACCCAAAUACUAGACCUUAAACCCAAACCGUAUAACCUUAAACCUAAAUCCUAGACCAUAAACCCAAACUGUAAACCGUA
rnacentral:lncRNA from 1 species